rnacentral:lncRNA from 1 species
UCACCCAUUCAUAAUGACAUUUCAAUUUCUGAUGGUAUUCUAUUUCAACAGGCUAGUCAAAAGUUGGUUGGUCAAAGCAAACAGGUUGCAUCGGCCAAUACUCAAGCUUACUCAUCAUGGUAAAGGAAAGAAGAAUGGGAGGCAUGAGGAUGGAUAGUGUUGGGUAUAAAAUACCCCCCAACCGAAGUUCGUGACAGGAGUGACCC